AAGCAAAUUAUAUUCUUAAAUAUCUGAAUAACAUAACGAGAGGGUCUGAUUGCAACACAGCUUUGAAUUUAUACAAAAGUUUGGUCCGAUCUGUAGCAGAUUAUGGCUGUUUUAUAUAUGCUCCUAAUUUAGAAAGAUUAAAAUUAAAAUUAGAAAGAGGACAAUUUUUAGGAUUAAGAACAGCCCUUGGUUACCGAAAUAGUACUCCGACAAAUGUAAUAAUCGCGGAAGCAAAAGUAGAACUACUAAGUGAAAGAGCCUUGAUGUUGGCAAAAAACUUUUGCCUGAAAGUCAAAAAAUAUGGAAAUGAAGAAAUUAAAAAAAGUUUAGAAAACUUGUCGAGAGCAGAAGCUAAAGAACGAUUGAGAUUUCCACAAAAGAAGAAAACUACGCUUACAAUGGCAUGGGACGAAAUUAAAAAAUAUAGCAACGAAAUAGGAGAAGAAAAAAAAACUUACGAACUAUGGGAAACGAAUUACGAUAUACUAACUGAAGAAAUUGAAACGGAUUUAGAAGUGGAAGAAAUCUACAAGAAUAAAGCGAAAAUAAAGGAAAAAAGAAAAAUCGAAGAGAUGAAAUACAAAAAAGAAGACUAUGAGUUGAUAGAUGAAUUUAAGGACAAAUAUAACCAGAAGAACAUCAAAUUCAUAUACACGGAUGGAUCAAGGAUCGAGGGUAAUCCAAGUGUUGGAGCAGGCAUAGUGAUAGAAGAGGAAGAAGAUGCAUAUUAUGCAAGUUUACCAAAAAACUCGUCAGUAUAUACAGCAGAAGCAUAUGCAAUAAAUGCAGCUUUAAGGAAAAUAGAGGACAAAGUAGAGAGGGAAAAUAAAGAAGAAGAGGAAAUGAUUAUAAUAUUAUCAGAUAAUCAAGGAGUAAUAAAAGCAAUUAAAAACAAUAGAUUAGACGUGUACAAAAAUAAAUAUAUAUUAGAUAUUAGAAGGAGACACCACAAAAUAAAAACAAGAUAUAAUAAGAGAAUAAUCUAUGCAUGGAUACCGUCUCACAAAGGAUUCACAGGAAAUGAAAUGGCGGAUAAACUAGCAAAAACAGGAACAGAAGAAGACAAUAAUAAGAAUAUCGAAGUACCUAUACAAGAUUAUAUGACAAUAUUUAAGGACGAGGCAAAAAGGAGAACACAAGAAAAAAUAAAAAAUGAAGCAAGUUAUAAGGGAAGAGACUACUUUAGAAGAUAUUAUGAUGAAGAAAAGAAGAAACCAUGGUUUCAUAAAAUAAGAGCGGAAAGAUAUUUCUACACAUGGAUGAACAGAAUACGAGCAAAUCAUUAUAAUUUGAACGAGUCUUUAGCUAGAAAGGAAUACAUAGCGACACCUGACUGUGAAUGUGGAAACUACGUAGAGGAUAUAAAUCACGUGGUAUGGGAGUGCAGAAAAUAUGAUGACCAGAGAGAAAGACUGAACGAGGAGCUCGAGAUCAGGCAUCUUAGAGGCUCGGAAGACAUUUUUGAGAUAAUCAGGAGAGAGGAUUGGAUGAAGAUUUCAGUGAUAUUCAAAUUCAUUAAAAAGUUAAACAGGAUCAUUUAAAGUGAAAGAAGGAAUAGAGCAACAACUAAAUACGCUAUAUAGCCCUAAGGUGGGGCUGAAGGCGUCUAUAACUCCAACCGGAGUUUACAACCUCAAAAAAAAAAAAAAAAAAAAACAAUACAUAAUAUUGGAUUUUAAGAUACACGCGUUCAAUGAACAUCUACGUCAGUAACAGAAUUGAUUUUGGCAUUGUAUAAUACAUGCAUGCAUAUACCUAUAUACUAUAUAUAUAUAUUUGAACAUGUGGCGUGAUUAGACUUUUUCGUCGUCGUUUAUCGUCUAUUUUGAAAAAAAGUUUGUAUUUAUCUAAAGAGGAUUUGAGCCGCUCUGCUAAAAUGGUUCGAGUCUCCGCUAAAGUGAUUUGAGUCCUUGCUAAAGUGCGGUACGAGUCUCCGCCAAGUGAGCUGGAAUUUGUUAAUACCGUUUUUCAAAUAUCUUUAUUAAUUUAAAUGUAUCAAGUAUCAAGAAAAAUACGCAACUUUGAGUUUUGUGUCAGAACUCAAAAAAAGGCAAUAUGACAAAGAUAUUAGGAGAGGGACAAAGAGAAGACUGGACGAGAAAGUGAGA